UAUAUACUCCCUCUGUACGGAAAUACUUGUUGGAGAAAUUGAUAAAAAUGGACGUAUCUAAAACUAAAAUACAUAUAGAUACAUCCAUUUCUUUGACAAGUAUUUUUGGAUUGAGGGAGUAUAUC
rfam:Hordeum vulgare subsp. vulgare, WGS project CAJW01000000 data, contig: morex_contig_161407